rnacentral:pre_miRNA from 2 species
CACAAUGUUAUACUGGAGAGCAGGAAGAGCUCUGUUGGGUAUAAGUAACAGACUUUUUUUUUUUCUUCUAUGUGGCUCUUUGCA